GUAACUGCAACACACUGCACAGAACAUCAUAACGCCAGAGCUCCAAAACACAUCCUGUCGAUCGUUUUAGUGAUGUUUCUGAGCUGCUGUCAGCGUUUUGAAAAAGCGCCUCCAGAAGGCAGAGAGGCAAGACGGAAGAGGAGAAGGAGAGCGGCUGUGACUGUUAGUUCCACUUCCUGUGGUUGCGUCACGUGGUUGUGGAGGGUUCAAAAGGAGACAACUUCUUCUUCUUCUUCAUCUGCUCCUUGGAUGGACAGAAGGCACCCGUGAGACGGCCGGACGAGCUCCGCUUGAAAAUGGGAGAAAAACGAAAUGAAGGUAGAGGUAAAGUAUGACGGGCGACGGCGUUUAUUCAGUGCUGACUAUGACAACAAUUGUGACGAUGUUGGUUUUUUUUUUUUUUGCUUGUCAGAUAAUGAUGGAUACGUAAGAGCAACGUUUUCUCCAUUACUUCUGCAUUUCUUUCGAUCUCACUUUUAGUCGAGUGGUCUCUGUUCAGAAGUCCAUUUGGAUCUUGAUGUAAAAACUUUCUACCUCAAACUAAACAACCUUUUCUUUACUCCUGUAAUGUUAAAUGUAUUCAUUUGAGUGUUUAAUGUAUCUACUUGAUAUUUUUUAUUUGUUUUUGCUUACAACAUUUCUACGUUUGAGUCAUUCUGGAGGACGUAUGUAUGAAUGUACAACGACUUAUGAAUGAUCCUUCGCGCAGACAGAAAAGCUUACUCAUGCCCGACAAAAUGGCUUCCUCAAGAUAGCGCUUCCUCUGGCAAGUGGCUUAGUUUCUGACUUUUGCCUCAAAAAACUGCACUCAGGCGCAGUUUGAGGUGUACAGACUGGGUCCUUUUGUCUGAGUUUUGCCUCCUAUUAAAAACGUUUAACAGUCCGAACUUGGAUUUGAAUUUUGAUUUGUGUAAAAAAACUAUACAUGCAAAUGGCAAAGACAAAUCAGGAAGUGUGCAUUUUCUGCUUCGACAAACGCGAGGGGCCGUCUCGAGCGUCGAGCUGAGUGGGUUUCAGUUCGGGUGAAAGUGUGUGUCUGGGUGGGGGAUGGUAUGUGUGUGUCUAUGUGUGUGCAGGUGCAGAAGAAGAGAGAAGUGGAAGACGGAAGAGGACGAUUGGAUGUACAGUGCAGUCAUCCAUAAAGUAGAAAGCACUACUAAACUCCUCGCCACAGUGUAGUGUUUCCUACUUUAUGGAUGAGUGUACUGUUGGCUUCAGGGAGAGGAGAGGAGCCCGCGCAGGAAGUCUGAAAAAAAAAAGAAAAAAAAGAGGAAGCUGCUUUGUCUCACAAAAGGCCACGCAUCGCCCAGAGUGUUGCCCCAGUCAGUUCACAUGGGCGGUGUGUGGGCGCCGAGCAAAGAUUGCAACUCUUUUCCACCUGAAAGAAAAAAAAAAAAAAAUGAUCACGUGUAACCUGUAUGAUGAGCAAUAAAGACGAGAAUGAAAAAAAAAAAAAUAAAUCUUGUGUCGACUUCUGUUUUUCCUGGAACACCACAUGCAUCGCAGACUCUGUUUCUGUGAAAAUAUACAUACUUUAUUCCUGUAAAAAGAUCCAUAUUGAAAGAAACCACCACAAUUUCAAGUCAACGAGUCCCCCCUGGGUUCUACACCUUUUAGUUACUGUUCCUCCGAUCAACAAUGCCUGGACAUGCAAAAAAAAAAAGAAAAAAAGAAAAGAAAAUCUGAAAAAAAAA